UUCGAAGCGAGAAAAAGUGAAAUUUGAUGUUAUUUUUAUUUCGAUUCUCUGUGUCUGCUGUGUUAAGGAUAAAACCCCACCAGUUCGGGGUCUCGUCGGAGAAAAAUUUCAAAUCUUUCGAUACGAACCAUGUGUGUUCCGGUCAAGAUUUUAAUUGCGAUGCCCUGUGGUAAGGACAACAGCUGGCAAUCCCACGCCAGUCGAGAGGCGUGCAGGAGAAAACCCGAAGGAUCGUGUCAGGAGGUGGUAGUAAAAGUGGGACUCGAACUACAGUCGUUUCGUUUAGUAGGAAAUUUGAAGUUCACCCGAUCACAAAAUUUUUGAUGAGAGACCGUUAAAAAUUUUACAAGUGUAGCCGAUCGAAAAAUUGAUCAGCACAAAUAACUGCAGCAUUAAGGAGAAUUGAUAGGUUCUCACGAAAAAUCGGUAGAUCCAGAGAGUUCAGGAGAAGCAGAAACCACUGGAUCCGGGACCGUGAAAAAAAAUGAUCUCGUCGUGCGUCUACAGGUCAAAAGUAUCUUUUCCGAUGGCUCGUUUUUCAAGGACUUCCUCAGAAGCAGCCUUUUAAAUGCUUCAUUGAAUUUAGACACAUUCAUUUAUAGUCCACUCCAGAAUUGGACGACGUUUUAUUUUGCCUCAUCGCCGAAAGCGAAUAUCUUAAUUAUAGCGACAGUCGACGUAGCAGGCAAGCACAUCCUACAAUGAUUCGGUCCUGUACUUUUACUGGUGCUGUAGUAAUUACAAGCGGUAGAAAAAGUUACGGUGGUGCGGAGUUAACCGGUGACCAGCUGGACACUAAAUUGGAAACAAAAUGGCAAAGGUACCGUGAUAUGGAACAAAUUCUUCAGUAUUCAGGGAACACCAUCUGUGACUGUUUUGGCAAACGUUGCGGCAGCUGUCAUUUCGCCGAUGUGGUUUCAAAUCCAUCCCGUCGACCCUCUUGAAUCCCACGCUAGCUAGUGCACAAAUGGUAAACAAUU